rnacentral:rRNA from 1 species
UACAGAGGUCCCAAGCGUUGUUCGGAUUCAUUGGGCGUAAAGGGUGUGUAGGUGGCGCUGUAAGUCGGGUGUGAAAUCUCGGGGCUUAACUCCGAAACUGCGUUCGAUACUGCGGUGCUUGAGGACUGGAGAGGAGACUGGAAUUCAUGGUGUAGCAGUGAAAUGCGUAGAGAUCAUGAGGAAGACCAGUGGCGAAGGCGGGUCUCCGGACAGUUCCUGACACUGAGACACGAAGGCCAGGGGAGCAAACGGG